GACGAACGCUGGCGGCGUGCCUAAUACAUGCAAGUUGAGCGCUGAAGGUUGGUACUUGUACCAACUGGAUGAGCAGCGAACGGGUGAGUAACGCGUGGGGAAUCUGCCUUUGAGCGGGGGACAACAUUUGGAAACGAAUGCUAAUACCGCAUAAAAACUUUAAACACAAGUUUUAAGUUUGAAAGAUGCAAUUGCAUCACUCAAAGAUGAUCCCGCGUUGUAUUAGCUAGUUGGUGAGGUAAAGGCUCACCAAGGCGACGAUACAUAGCCGACCUGAGAGGGUGAUCGGCCACAUUGGGACUGAGACACGGCCCAAACUCCUACGGGAGGCAGCAGUAGGGAAUCUUCGGCAAUGGACGAAAGUCUGACCGAGCAACGCCGCGUGAGUGAAGAAGGUUUUCGGAUCGUAAAACUCGGUUGGUAGAGAAGAACGUUGGUGAGAGUGGAAAGCUCAUCAAGUGACGGUAACUACCCAGAAAGGGACGGCUAACUACGUG
rnacentral:rRNA from 1 species